rnacentral:rRNA from 1 species
GACGAACGCUGGCGGCGUGCCUAACACAUGCAAGUCGAGCGAAUGAAGUUCCUUCGGGAAUGGAUUUAGCGGCGGACGGGUGAGUAACACGUGGGCAACCUGCCUCAUAGAGGGGAAUAGCCUCCCGAAAGGGAGAUUAAUACCGCAUAAGAUUGUAGUACCGCAUGAUACAGCAAUUAAAGGAGCAAUCCGCUAUGAGAUGGGCCCGCGGCGCAUUAGCUAGUUGGUGAGGUAAUGGCUCACCAAGGCGACGAUGCGUAGCCGACCCGAGAGGGUGAUCGGCCACAUUGGGACUGAGACACGGCCCAGACUCCUACGGGAGGCAGCAGUGGGGAAUAUUGCACAAUGGGGGAAACCCUGAUACAGCAACGCCGCGUGAGUGAUGACGGCCUUCGGGUUGUAAAGCUCUGUCUUCAGGGACGAUAAUGACGGUACCUGAGGAGGAAGCCACGGCUAACUACGUG